rnacentral:rRNA from 1 species
UGGGGAAUAUUGCACAAUGGGCGCAAGCCUGAUGCAGCCAUGCCGCGUGUAUGAAGAAGGCCUUCGGGUUGUAAAGUACUUUCAGCGGGGAGGAAGGGAGUAAAGUUAAUACCUUUGCUCAUUGACGUUACCCGCAGAAGAAGCACCGGCUAACUCCGUGCCAGCAGCCGCGGUAAUACGGAGGGUGCAAGCGUUAAUCGGAAUUACUGGGCGUAAAGCGCACGCAGGCGGUUUGUUAAGUCAGAUGUGAAAUCCCCGGGCUCAACCUGGGAACGGCAUCUGAUACUUGCAAGCUUGAGUCUCGUAGAGGGGGGUAGAAUUGCAGGUGUAGCGGUGAAAUGCGUAGAGAUCUGGAGGAAUACCGGUGGCGAAGGCGGCCCCCUGGACGAAGACUGACGCUCAGGUGCGAAAGCGUGGGGAGCAAACAGG